GUGCUCGCUUUGGUAAUACAUAUGCUAAAAGUGAAAUGAUACAGAAAAGAUUAGUAUGGCUGAUGUGCAGGGAUGACACGCAAAUUUGUGUAGUGGUCUAUAUUUUU